GCCAGAGCUGCCUCUGGCAAGGAUUGGUCGUGGGGAGGACCGGAGGUAGGGCUGGUGCCCCGGGAAAGCUGGGAGGCCUUUCGGCUUGUCGGCAGAGAGGUUCUUUGAACCUAGAGUGUGUGAUUCUUUGGUUUACUUGGAGAUACGUAUUAGCCCAUUGAAGGAGGUCGGAGCAGCUGAUCUAUUGGAUCUUACUCUUGUGAUCAAACUGCCUGUUAUCCAAGGAAGCAAUAAUGUGUUCUACACUACAAAUAUAAGUGAAAAGUUUUAUCAACCUUCUUAUGAUUUUAACCUGUCUGAUCAUUACUGUCGACUUUUGGAAACCAGCUAUAAAAGCC